AGUUGGGCCACAUACAGAGAUGGUUGGAAGUGCUCUUCAGGCUGAACUGAGACUCACCCUCGAAGAGGAUUCUACUCUGCUGCAGGGUCUGCUCAUUGUGGGUUGUACGUCAUCUGAUAGAAGACUGCAAAAUUCCCAUUUUAGAGCAUGAGUUCGUGAAGGCAUGGAAGCAGGACCUCGGACGGCACGGUGCUGGCGUCGUUCCUCGUUCAACCAGGAUGCUGCAGCAGAUAUGCAUUGGGAUGUGGAAUGCUGAUAAUGAUAUAAGGACCGUCGUACAGCAGACGCCACUUCGCGUUGUGCCGCUGAGGAGCU